CCGCGCACUAAGAAGCACCACGCUCAAAUCUCCAGCCAGGAGGAUGGUGCUGUCCUCUCGCAACUCGCAAAGGCACCGUGAGAGACCCAAGGCCCAGAUUCCCGAGUCCCAUCCACUACAGUCCUGGGAUGCAGACAAACUGUCCCAGACAUUCGCGGGCUAGCUAGAGUUUCGAUUCUCUGAAAGCCUUGUGUGCGUCAACUCUGAAGGUGAAACGAGAUCCAGUUGUCCUUUGAGAUAGGGAGGGAGAACCCGAGUUCCAGAAAGACUGUUGCAUUAACUUUGUCUGGGGAGAUAUAUACCCCAAGUAGGAAGGCACCCAAACAGAUCAAAGAUUCUACUCAACUCUCCCUCCAUGAAUCUAGCUGGGGACCGAAACCAGGGCCACUGAGCUAAAUCCCCAACCCCUUUUUUUUAAAGAUUUAUUUAUUUUAUGUAUAUAUAUAUAUAUAAG
ensembl:lncRNA